GUAGGUGGCAAGCGUUGUCCGGAAUUAUUGGGCGUAAAGCGCGCGCAGGCGGUUCUUUAAGUCUGAUGUGAAAGCCCACGGCUCAACCGUGGAGGGUCAUUGGAAACUGGAGAACUUGAGUACAGAAGAGGAAAGCGGAAUUCCACGUGUAGCGGUGAAAUGCGUAGAGAUGUGGAGGAACACCAGUGGCGAAGGCGGCUUUCUGGUCUGUAACUGACGCUGAGGCGCGAAAGCGUGAGGAGCAAACAGGAUUAGAUACCCUGGUAGUCCACGCCGUAAACGAUGAGUGCUAAGUGUUAGGGGGUUUCCGCCCCUUAGUGCUGCAGCUAACGCAUUAAGCACUCCGCCUGGGAGUACGGCCGCAAGGCUG
rnacentral:rRNA from 1 species